rnacentral:rRNA from 1 species
AUUGAACGCUGGCGGCAUGCCUUACACAUGCAAGUCGAACGGCAGCACGGGUUCUUGCACCUGGUGGCGAGUGGCGAACGGGUGAGUAAUACAUCGGAACGUACCUUAUCGUGGGGGAUAACGCAGCGAAGGCUGUGCUAAUACCGCAUACGCCCUGAGGGGGCAAGCGGGGGAUCUCAAGCCCUCGCGCGAUUAGAGCGGCCGAUGCCUGAUUAGCUUGUUCGUGGGGUAAAAGCCCACCAAGGCGACGAUCAGUAGCUGGUCUGAGAGGACGAUCAGCCACACUGGGACUGAGACACGGCCCAGACUCCUACGGGAGGCAGCAGUGGGGAAUUUUGGACAAUGGGGGCAACCCUGAUCCAGCAAGGCCGCGUGAGUGAAGAAGGCCUUCGGGUUGUAAAGCUCUUUUGUCAGGGAAGAAACACCGGCUCUAACACAGUCCGGGAAUGACGGUACCUGAAGAAUAAGCACCGGCUAACUACGUGCCAGCCGCCGCGGUAA